ACCUGGCUGGCUCAGUAGGAAGAGUGCGUGGCUCUUAAUCUCGGGGUCAUGAGUUCAAGCCCCAUGUUGGGUG
rnacentral:tRNA from 1 species